rnacentral:lncRNA from 1 species
AUUAAACAUGUCCAUCCUCUUCCUAUAAAUACCAUGGCAGCAACCUCAUUCAAUUCAUCCAGAAAUUAACCAUUCUCCAAGCAUUUCCUUGCCUCUCCUACAUAUCUAAACCCCUUCCCAUCCAUUCCUCAAAAUAACCAACCCUUCAACAUCAUUCCAACCUUGUUGUUGCGGCAAGGAGUAGGAGAAAAGUCCUUGAACGCACUUGCUAUCCAACAUGGAUCGUUGGAACGUUUAGGUGCUUUCUUCCCUUUGUUUUUCAAUAUUUAAAUUUGUUUAUCUUUGUUUUGUAAUAAUGAGGAACUAAACCCCCCUUGGCUAGGGGGGGAUUCGAAAUACAUGUUUAUGCUUGCGUUAUGAUUUGAUUA